rnacentral:lncRNA from 1 species
GAACUAUUAGUUUCAUUCACUGCAAUUAUUUAUUUCUUACAUUAAAUUUUGCUCAAGUCCCUUACAAUUUUCCAAAGAUAGACAUGUGGAUGUGGGCAAGCAGGCAAAAAAGCAAAAAAGCAAACAACAACAACAACAACAACCUCUUGAAUUUCAUUUUGCUUCUUUUGAUUAUUCAGAGAAAACUUCAGAAAGUUAAUGUAGCACAGAUAGAAAAAUGUGAAAUACAGAGUUGAAAGAAGACAGUGCUUUCAUCUGUCAAGCAUUAGGGGUUUCCCAGCCUGGAAUGUACCUGGCUUUAAUAGUUUUUAAGGGAUUGGUUUUUAUUCUGAACCCAAAUCCCACCCCACCUCCCCAAACACACACGCAUACACGCAGGCACACGCAUAUACAUAUCGGGUUAUACAGUGAUGCCAAAACAGACAAGGAAGGGAAGUCAAGAUUAAUAGUGGUGAGCAGGGCGUUGAUUUCAGCCAGUUCUGUUUACACAGCAUUUUCCUUCCAGAACCGCAGAGCUCUACACAGAUACUAUCUCACUAAUCCUCAAUGGAGCUUUCUCAAAGCGCCUUUAUCCAGCCUCUCUCCUAGGAGAAAGUGAGGCACGGCGGGCAGAGGUGGUGAAGUCCUCGCAAAAGCUGGAAACAUGACCCCGGGCUCCUGACGCAUGGGCCAUUGUCCUUUGCACUCCACCGCGCCACCUUCCUGUCAGGUGUCUGGUAAACAGGUUAACUGAUCGCUGAUUAGGGGCCUCCCGCCUACGUGCAAUGAGUGGCGGAAAGGAGCUUUUCCUUGUCAAUACGAAAAUCUUUGAGUACAAAUCGAUAAAGCUAGAGAUUCAAAGACUGCCUUUAUAAAACUGGAGAAGAUGCACUCUGGCCAUAGGCGGAGGGGGCAGCCCGGGGCCCCUGUCAGGAAGCCAAGCGGCCCGGGGCAUCCCUGGAAGGCUGCCGAGGGGGCAGCGCCUUCUCUGGGGACGGCUUCGUGGAGAGUCCGGGACGGGCGAGACAGAAAACCGAGCCCUAUUUGUUAUUAGUAUUUUUUUUUUUAUACUCUCAAAUGCCACCGGCACAUUCUUUUAAAAAAAAAUGAAAGGAAAGAAAGAAAGAAAAAGAAAAUAAGAGAGGAAAAGGUCCUGAG